rnacentral:rRNA from 1 species
AUUGAACGCUGGCGGCAUGCCUUACACAUGCAAGUCGAACGGUAACAGGUUAAGCUGACGAGUGGCGAACGGGUGAGUAAUGCGUAGGAAGCUACCCGAUAGAGGGGGAUACCAGUUGGAAACGACUGUUAAUACCGCAUAAUGUCUACGGACCAAAGUGUGGGACCUUCGGGCCACAUGCUAUCGGAUACGCCUACGUGGGAUUAGCUAGUUGGUGAGGUAAUGGCUCACCAAGGCGACGAUCCCUAGCUGGUUUGAGAGGAUGAUCAGCCACACUGGAACUGAGACACGGUCCAGACUCCUACGGGAGGCAGCAGUGGGGAAUAUUGGACAAUGGGCGCAAGCCUGAUCCAGCCAUGCCGCGUGUGUGAAGAAGGCCUUUGGGUUGUAAAGCACUUUCAGUAGGGAGGAAGCGUUGUGUGUUAAUAGUACACAGCGUUGACGUUACCUACAGAAGAAGCACCGGCUAACUCUGUGCCAGCCGCCGCCGUAAGAC